rnacentral:snoRNA from 1 species
AGUGUGCCCUUAUGAAGCUAAAGUUGCUUCCACACAGCUUUUGCAGUCAAAAAGAGCCCACAGUGAGGUUU